GGAUGUGAGGGCGAUCUGGCUGCGACAUCUGUCACCCCAUUGCUCGCCAGGGUUGAUUCAGCUGAUCGGGCUGGCUAGCCAGGUGUCCCCCUCCUCCCUCACCCCUCCAUGUGCUUCCCUCCCAAAGCUGUGCGCUCAUCGAAGAGCAUGACCUUCCCCGCCAGAGGAGGACCGGUCUUCGGUCAAGGGCAUACGAGUAGCUGCGCUCCCCUGCUAGAACCUCCAAACAAACUCUCAGGAACAGGGAUCAGCAAAGAUGUCCCCAUUCAGAACUGCCUGUAGUUUGCAACUUCCAUAAAGAC
rnacentral:snRNA from 1 species